GACGUAGGAGGCGAGCGUUGUCCGGAUUCAUUGGGCGUAAAGAGCGCGCAGGCGGCUUGGUAAGUCGGAUGUGAAAUCCCGAGGCUCAACCUCGGGUCUGCAUCCGAUACUGGGCGGCUAGAGUCUGGUAGGGGGAUCUGGAAUUCCUGGUGUAGCGGUGGAAUGCGCAGAUAUCAGGAGGAACACCGGUGGCGAAGGCGGGAUCCUGGGCCAGUACUGACGCUGAUGAGCGAAAGCGUGGGGAGCAAACAGG
rnacentral:rRNA from 1 species